rnacentral:lncRNA from 1 species
AUACCUAAAAGAGCACUUUUAUUGUUUACUCAUUUUGCGAAACCAUAAUGAGCACGGCAAAGUGGUACUAAAUGUCUAAUCUCUUUAUUAUAACUGUUUCCCUUUUAUUGUUUGCUGUUGUUCUAAAGAUUAGUUUAAAUUACAGUUGCCAUGGGAAUUGCUUGAUUAUGCCUCAGUUGCGUGCUUCGGAGAUUUUGUUCAGGAUUCUUUCUUGGGUCUUAUGCUAAAGGGCUAUGAAGUUCAUAAAGCCCUUGCUUAAAGGUAACAAGUCAUUUGUUCCUAAAUUCUGUUCUUAUAGCCACUGUUGGGUAAAUAUUUCUUGGAUAAUUUGUGGUAGAUUCUUAGAUAGGGACAUAAAAUUGGAUAACAUUGUUCCUAGUCUUUGGUUCCCUCUUUGUUUCUUGGAUCGGAAUGCAUGUUCUUGUACGAAUUGUUCUGUUUUCAUCUCCUGAUGACCACAAGCUGAUAACCACGGGGCUAUUUUCUUAGAAUUUUCGAGUUUCUACUGUCUACACGAAGUCCUUGCAUGUGCGAUAAAGAUCUUGAAAAAAUCUUGGCAUCUAAUCUUUCUCUGUUUCUGCUUGUGAUGUCAAAACACCCCACGUAUCUAGUUUGCUCUGGUUACUACUGAUGCCAAUGCCAUUUAUUGUAAUGGAUUCUGUCCUGAACUUCCGAAUUGUGAUAUCCAAUCUGCUACUGUUUUCUGAUGCGUCUGAUUGAAUCUGAUGGCUGACCUCUUGAUGCUUUGUGAUGGGUGGCAGGCAUUUGGCAGGCAGAAGGUGGAGCCUGAGGUCAAGGAGGAGACUCCGGGUGUGAUGCCAGAAGUACCGGCGGCAACUGAGUCUCAGUGAAGGCGUCCUGAGCUCGUGAUCGUCUUCCAUGAAUCUGAAGCUUCAUUCACUGAGAGUUGUGAGGUCUUAUCAGCAUAGAGUUAUCUUUUGGUUUUGUCCUUGUCUUUGCUUAGUUGGGACAUGGUUUGCCUGAGCGAUUUCAACUUGUAAGACACCAAGACCCGUUCCAGUUAUGGAUCUUAAUCUGGUUGGAACCGCCGUCAUUUGCGGUGCAUUUUGGUGAUAUUCGUUUUGCCAUCACCUAUGCUUCAUUCUGUCGAAUGGAAUGGAAGAUCAUUUGAUCAGGUAGUUCUCUGUGCAAUGCGACCUGGUCUUGUUCUGGUUCUCCUUGAUGCUACCAAUGCUACCUGCUUCCUAUUGAGUUUAGUUGCUUCAGUGUAUUCGUGCAGUAUUAUAGUUGGUGUUUACAUUCGAAUGUAUAUUUCUCAAAGAUUGGCCAGGCCAAUAAGAGUUUAUAAGGGCACAUCAAGCCGUGAGGAGAGGUGGGUCAGCCAAAAAUUGCCUGCCUCCUUGUCUG